rnacentral:snRNA from 1 species
AACCCUCAACACCACGGGGAUCAUCCGAUAAGAUUGGAGCGACACAGAGAAGACUAGCAUUGCCCCGGCGCAAGGAUGGCACGCACAAAUCGAGAAGUGUACCAAGUUCAA